rnacentral:rRNA from 1 species
CUACGGGCCGCUGCAGUGGGGAAUAUUGCGCAAUGGGGGAAACCCUGACGCAGCAACGCCGCGUGAGUGAUGAAGGCCUUCGGGUCGUAAAGCUCUGUCAGAGGGGAAGAAGGCUGAGAGGUUAAUACCCUUGAAUGCUUGACGGUACCCUCAAAGGAAGCACCGGCUAACUCCGUGCCAGCAGCCGCGGUAAUACGGAGGGUGCAAGCGUUGUUCGGAAUCACUGGGCGUAAAGGGCGCGUAGGCUGCCGCUUAAGUCAGAUGUGAAAGCCCACGGCUUAACCGUGGAACUGCAUUUGAAACUGGGUGGCUUGAGUACGGGAGAGGGAAGUGGAAUUCCAGGUGUAGAGGUGAAAUUCGUAGAUAUCUGGAGGAACACCAGUGGCGAAGGCGGCUUCCUGGACCGAUACUGACGCUGAGGCGCGAAAGCGUGGGGAGCAAACAGGAUUAGAUACCCCAGUAGUC